rnacentral:rRNA from 1 species
AUGAACGCUGGCGGCGUGCCUAACACAUGCAAGUCGAGCGAUGAGGCUCCCUUCGGGGGGUACAUCAGCGGCCAACGGGUAGAGUAACACGUGGGUGACCUUCCCCAAAGACGGGGAUAACUCUUGGAAACAGGGGCUAAUACCCGAUGUGCUCAGCAGUUCAUUCUGUUGAGUAAAGCUAUGGCGCUUUGGGAUGGGCCCGCGGCCCAUCAGCUAGUCGGUACGGUAAAGGCCUACCAAGGCUAAGACGGGUAGGGGGCGUGAGAGCGCGAUCCCCCACACUGGCGCUGAUACACGGGCCAGACUCCUACGGGAGGCACCAAUGACGAAUAUUGCGCAAUGGACGAAAGUCUGACGCAGCGACGCCGCGUGGGCCAUGAAGGCCUUCGGGUCGUAAAGCCCUUUUCUGGGGGAAGAGAACGGACGGUAACCCCAGCGAAUAAGCCCCGGCUAACUACGUGCCAGCAGCCGCGGUACAACGUAGGGGGCAAGCGUUAUCCGCGAUUUACUGGGCGUAAAGAGCGUUGAGGCGGGCAUGUAAGUUGGGCGUGAAAUGCCCUGUGCUUAACUCAUGGAAGCCGUUCAAUACUGCGAAACUUGAGGGCAGCAUCAGGGAGGUGGAAUUCCCGUGAGUAGCGGUGAAAUGCGUAGAUAUCGGGAAGUGAACACCAUUGGCGAAGUGCGGCCUCCUGGCCUGCUCCUGACGCUGAAGGCGAAACCUACAGGGAGCAAAACGGCGACUUAGAAACCCCCGCGUAGUCCUAGGCCGGUAAACGAUGGAUGCUACGUGUGGGGGGUGUAGAUUCCCUCCGUUGCCGCAGUUAACGCGUUACGCUUCCCGCCUGGGGAGUACGGCCGUCAAGGCUAAAACUCAGACGAAUUGACGGGGGCCCGCACAAGCAGCGGAGCGUGUGCGUAUAAUUCGAUCCUACACGAAGAACCACACCUGGCGCGUUGACAUAGCAGAUAGUAGUGAAGUGAAAGCGGAUCGAUCGUUCGGGGAGCCUGUACAGGUGCUGCAUGGCUGUCGUCAGCUCGUGCCGUGAGGUGUCGCGGUUAAGUCCCAGUAACGAGCGCAACCCUUGCUCAUAGUUAUACGUGUCUAAGAGGACUGCCGCCGGUAAGCCGGAGGAAGGUGGGGAUGACGUCAAGUCAGCAUGGCCUUCAUGUCCAGGGCUACACACACGCUAC